CGUAAAUGAAGGAACGGAAAAGACGUGAUUGGAUGUCCAUGCUUCGUUUUAUCUAUAAAAAUCUUGCAUUUGUUUUAGUUUCUGACCCCAUCUGUGACCCAUCAGUUGAGACUCACCUUUGAACACUGUAUUAAAAUUCCACACAGAAUAGAUGAAAAGUCAAAGGAUGGCCUCCUGGGUGAAGGUCAGUGGAUCAGGUGGAUGUUUGGCACAACCCGAC